CUUGUAGCAACCCUGGGUCAGGCUUGUUUGACAUCCAGAUAAAAAUACGUUUCCGUGAGCAAGCACUCUAACACAACUCUUAUCUGGGACCGGUGAGUGCAGUCGGUAAGGAGGAUAUGUAGUAUUGGGGGUAGCCGGCGUGGGGUAAUGGUUGCGUGUUCUCUGGUGUGGCACAGGUGGAGGUGUGUGGACUUCUCUACUGUCUCCCGGUAAAAAUACAACGUUACAGGCCCGGGUGGUGACUGGCCAGGAUGCGAAGGAUGCAGGUCAUUCAGCAGAAGCUUGAGCAGGACCUAAAAACUAGACGAGGCUGGCGCAUUGUCAGGGACUAAGAGGAGCUGACUGAAUCCAAACAGCUGGUCCACAUCACCAACUGCAAAGCAACAGAGGCUCCUCAUCAUGGCCUUGGGACGCCAAGUUUUCUUGAAAUCCUCCUCUGAGCUGAAAGUAUUUCCAAGGCAAUAAUCACACACAUUAAAGUCACUGAAGCCAUGUAGAUCUCGUAUUUCUGUUAUAGUCUUAUGUGCAUGGUUUACUAUUCAUGAAUCUAGACCUUGGGCAAAAUAAACAAAUAGAAAGAAAAAGAAAAGCAGAAACCUUUAGCUCCCCCUUUUGGCUGUUUGGGACAGUUAUAACGGACAGGUUGACGGCAGCAGAGAGAUUCCAUUUCAACCCCUCACUUUCUAUGUAUGUCCAUCUAUUCAGCUCCUUAUUCUCUUUCACUCUUUCAGUUUCCCCUCUUCUUCAGCAUCAUUCAUAUAAUCCUAUUUUCAUCUUUUUUGUCAGUCUCUCUUUUCAUCUCUUCUCAACCUCUGACUCUUGCUACCACUUUCUCUUCCCUGGCAGUUGGGUCGGAUCACGUUCCCACCACAAACAAACCACUCCAGGGCUCAUUUGGGACCGGACUGAGACCACCUCCUCUCAACGGUCUCGGUGCGAAAACUGUGUUCAUACCGACCCAAACAAAUCAAGGGGGGAAACAAACCAGAGUCUGAUUUAACCGGACUGAAAAGCACAGGUGUGAAAACACCCUUAAACCAUGCAAC
ensembl:lncRNA